rnacentral:rRNA from 1 species
AGCGAACGCUGGCGGCAGGCCUAACACAUGCAAGUCGAACGAACUCUUCGGAGUUAGUGGCGGACGGGUGAGUAACACGUGGGAACGUGCCUUUAGGUUCGGAAUAACUCAGGGAAACUUGUGCUAAUACCGAAUGUGCCCUUCGGGGGAGAGAUUUAUCGCCUUUAGAGCGGCCCGCGUCUGAUUAGCUAGUUGGUGAGGUAAAGGCUCACCAAGGCGACGAUCAGUAGCUGGUCUGAGAGGAUGAUCAGCCACAUUGGGACUGAGACACGGCCCAAACUCCUACGGGAGGCAGCAGUGGGGAAUCUUGCGCAAUGGGCGAAAGCCUGACGCAGCCAUGCCGCGUGAAUGAUGAAGGUCUUAGGAUUGUAAAAUUCUUUCACCGGGGACGAUAAUGACGGUACCCGGAGAAGAAGCCCCGGCUAACUUCGUG